rnacentral:lncRNA from 1 species
AUGGAGUCAGGGCCGUCUGGAGGCUCCAGGCCCGCGGAGCCGGGGCCUCGCUUGUGCGGCUUGCGCGGCGCGGACGCGGCGGCCUCGGCCUCCUCGCUGAGCCGCUUCGGGGCCGAAGCUGGGUGUCGCGCGCCGGCUGUGGCGGCUGUGUUGCCGGCGGGGGGUAGCGGGGAGAGGAUGGGCGUCCCCACCCCGAAGCAGUUCUGCCCCAUCCUGGAGAGGCCGCUCAUCAGCUACACCCUGCAGGCCCUGGAGAGAGUAUCUUGGAUAAAGGACAUUAUUGUGGCAGUAACUGGAGAGAACAUGGAAACAAUGAAAGGAAUUAUUCAGAGGUACCAGCAUAAACGUAUCUCACUGGUUGAAGCUGGAGUGACCCGCCACAGGUCAAUUUUUAAUGGUCUGAAAGCCCUGGCAGAGGAUCAGCCCAACUGUAGACUCUCAAAGCCAGAAGUAGUGAUCAUCCACGAUGCUGUGAGACCAUUUGUUGAGGAAGAUGUCCUCCUUAACGUUGUCACAGCUGCUCAGGAACAUGGGGCCUCGGGAGCAAUCCGACCUCUUGUAUCUACUGUCAUCAGCCCGUCUGUAGACAGCUGCUUAGACCACUCACUGGAACGUGCCAGAUACAGGGCAAGUGAAAUGCCACAGGCCUUUCUAUUUGAUGUGAUCUAUGAAGCAUAUCAGCAGUGUAGUGACUAUGACUUGGAAUUUGGAACUGAGUGUUUGCAUUUGGCUCUAAAAUACAGUCAUAUCAAAGCAAAACUCGUGGAAGGAUCCCCUGACCUCUGGAAGGUGACCUACAAACGAGAUCUGUAUGCAGCUGAAUCGAUUAUUAAGGAAAGAAUUUCACAACAAGUUUGUGUAGUUAUGGACACAAAAGAAGAUGAAGAACAUGUAGGUCGUUGUCUUGAAGAAAUGCUAAAAACGGAAUUAAAUCAUAUAAAAGUCACAUCUGGCCAAGAUCUUCAGCAAAUCAUCGUAGAGCAAUGCUACAACUUUGUUUGUAUGAAUGUUAUGACCUCUGAUUUUGAAGAAACCCAGAGGUUACUGAAUAUGCUGGAAGAGAGUAAUCUUUCCAUUUUAUAUCCUGUUGUGGUUAUUUCAGUGCAUUUUCUGGAUUAUGAAUCAGUACCAUUUGGUCAGAAAAUGGAAAAGGUAAUGCAGAUUAGAGAGUUUGCCAAGGAAGCGAAAAAAGGAAAUAUUUUAUUAUUUGGCCUUCUCAUAUAUUUCCCACAGGAGGAACAGAAGCUACAAGAAAGUUUAAGGCAAGGCGCCACCAUUAUUGCUGCCUUAAUCAAAGAAAGAAAUUCUGGACUCAUUGGUCAACUACUGGUAGCAUAAAGAACAUGGAGGAAAUUACCUGCUGUGUUCUUAGAAACAUUCCCCUAAGUAUUUCUUUUGUGCUUUCCUCCGAAUUGUAUAUGGUAGAAUGUUGAAGUUGUCUUUUAUAAUUUGUAGGAUGUGAUGCUUAGGUGAACUUAAAAACAUUUUUAUGCGUGCCAAAUAUAAAUUCCCUAAAUUGGAAAAGAACAAACAAGUGGAAAAUAAUGGCCUUCACAUGAAGAAUCUUCUCACAAAGGCAUGAAAGGGUAAAAUAGAAAUAAUGAGUAGUCAGCUAAUUCUCCAAGGAAUGAAAGUUUAGAAAAUGUCAACUAUUAUCUCUAUGUUAAUUAGUGAAUCACUGUAUAAUGAGACUAAUAAUUAAGAUUAAUGAUUAUUUUUAAUUCUAACAGUAUCCUUUCUCUGUGGGUUAUUUGAAUUGCAUUCUGAUUUUUCAUACCGUGACAAAAAAGAGAUAGCAGUGAACUAUGAUCUGAGUAUCUUCACGAAUAGCCUCACAUUACCUUAGAUUCCUAAAGGAGAUAGACUCUCCUUCUGCUUUUCUAAUGUUUUAAAAUUGUAUGUUUUCCUUGGUUUAUGAAAUAUAGUUUUGACUUACAUUAAUUUAAAAGGCUUCUGAUUUUUCUGAAUAACUUUAAAAGAAGACUGGAAAGUGUCAUGAAAUUAAUACUGGUCCAUCUCAAGUUAGUCUUCUGAAAGGUGUACCAACUACUGGUAGUUGUUCAGUUUGGUUCAGUUCAGUCACUCAGUCGUGUCUGACUCUUUGCAACCCCAUGAACUGCAGCAUGCCAGCCCUGCCUGUCCAUCACCAAUUCCCGGAGUCCACCCAAACCCAUGUCCAUUGUGUCGGUGAUGCCAUCCAACCAUCUCAUCAUCUGUUGUCCCCUUCUCCUCCUGCCCUCAAUCUUUCCCAGCAUCAGGGUCUUUUCAAAUGAGUCAGCUCUCUGCAUCAGGUGGCCCAAAGUAUUGGAGUUUCAGCUUUAGCAUCAGUCCUUCCAAUGAACACUCAGGACUGAUCUUCCUUUAGGAUGGACUGGUUGGAUAUCCUUGCAUUCCAAGGGACUCUCAAGAGACUUCUCCAGCACCACAGUUCAAAAGCAUCAAUUCUUCAGUGCUAAGCCUUCUUUAUAGUCCAACUCUCACAUCCAUACAUGACUACUGGAAAGACCAUAGACUUGACUAGAUGGACCUUUGUUGGCAAAGUGAUAUCUCUGCUUUUUAAUAUGCUGUCUAGGUUGGUCAUAAGUUUUCUUCCAAGGAGUAAGUGUCUUUUAAUUUCACAGCUGCCAAUCACCAUCUGCAGUGAUUUUGGAGCCCCCAAAAUAAAGUCUUGACACUGUUUCCCCA